GGGACAGUACUCAAGAGGCUGAAGAGGCGGCACUGCUAAUGCUGUAGGGGUGGCAACACCCGCGGAGGUUCAAAUCCUCUCUGUUCCGCCA
rnacentral:tRNA from 3 species